UACGUAGGUGGCAAGCGUUAUCCGGAUUUAUUGGGCGUAAAGGGAACGCAGGCGGUCUUUUAAGUCUGAUGUGAAAGCCUUCGGCUUAACCGGAGUAGUGCAUUGGAAACUGGGAGACUUGAGUGCAGAAGAGGAGAGUGGAACUCCAUGUGUAGCGGUGAAGUGCGUAGAUAUAUGGAAGAACACCAGUGGCGAAAGCGGCUCUCUGGUCUGUAACUGACGCUGUGGUUCGAAAGCGUGGGUAGCAAACAGG
rnacentral:rRNA from 1 species